AAAGAGUAAAAAAAUAAGGAAAAAGAAAGGAGUAAAUUAAAGAGCUGCUAGAGUUUUAGUGUUUCACUAAGAUGAAAAUACUUAAAGACUCCUUAUCUAUAAGUCCUAUUAAAAUUGAUCCCUCAACUUUAAAAGUUCAAAUCUUUUUAUUUACUAUUGGAUAUUUCACCGACCCCAGUCAGGGUCCGAGUCCAGACUAGAAAACUAUUCCGAGCCCUAUCCAUUUAAAAGUUGGGUUCGAGUCGAAUCUAAAUCGGGUAUGGGUAUAAAAUAUCCGGACCCAUAUCCGAAACUUUAAUCGGUAAUUUUUUUUAUCCAUAUAUUAUCCAUUUUUUAUUGGGUCCGGUUUGGAUCCGGAUAGGGUCUGGAUCGGAUAUGGUAUAUCGGAUAUUUUGGACAGCUUUAUUUUUCCCCUCUCUUUCUUUAUAGCUGGUUAUGGG
rnacentral:lncRNA from 1 species